UACGGAGGGUGCGAACGUUAAUCGGAAUCACUGGGCGUAAAGCGCGCGUAGGCGGUUUGUUAAGUGGGAUGUGAAAUCCCCGGGCUUAACCUGGGAAUUGCAUUUCAAACUGGCCGACUAGAGUACGGUAGAGGGAGGUAGAAUUUCCUGUGUAGCGGUGAAAUGCGUAGAUAUAGGAAGGAAUACCAGUGGCGAAGGCGGGUCUCUGGACAGUUCCUGACGCUGAGGCACGAAGGCCAGGGGAGCAAACGGG
rnacentral:rRNA from 1 species